CCUACGUGGGGCAGCAGUAGGGAAUAUUGCUCAAUGGACGAGACCCUGAAGCAGCCACGCAGCGUGGAGGAUGAAUGUUUUCUGAUUUUAAACUCCUUUUUUUAUAGAAGAUAAUGACGGUAUCUAACGAAUAAUCACCGGCUAACUCCGGGCCAGCAGCCGCGGUAAUACGGAGGGUGCAAGCGUUACUCGGAUUCACUGGGCGUAAAGAGCGCGUAGGCGGGAUAGCAAGUCAGAUGUGAAAUCCUAUGGCUUAACCAUAAAACUGCAGUUGAAACUGUUAUUCUUGAGUACGGGAGAGGUAGGCGGAAUUCUUGGUGUAGGGGUAAAAUCCGUAGAGAUCAAGAGGAAUACUCAUUGCGAAGGCGACCUGCUAGAACAUAACUGACGCUGAUGUGCGAAAGUGUGGGGAGCAAACAGGAUUAGAUACCCCUGUAGUC
rnacentral:rRNA from 1 species